rnacentral:rRNA from 1 species
GAUGAACGCUGGCGGCGUGCUUCACACAUGCAAGUCGAACGGAAAGGCCGAAGCUUGCUUCGGUACUCGAGUGGCGAACGGGUGAGUAACACGUGGGUGAUCUGCCCUGUACUUCGGGAUAAGCUUGGGAAACUGGGUCUAAUACCGGAUAUGACGAUCUCUUGGAUGGGGUUGUGGAAAGCUUUUGCGGUAUGGGAUGAGCUCGCGGCCUAUCAGCUUGUUGGUGGGGUAAUGGCCUACCAAGGCGUCGACGGGUAGCCGGCCUGAGAGGGUGUACGGCCACAUUGGGACUGAGAUACGGCCCAGACUCCUACGGGAGGCAGCAGUGGGGAAUAUUGCACAAUGGGCGCAAGCCUGAUGCAGCGACGCCGCGUGGGGGAUGACGGCCUUCGGGUUGUAAACUCCUUUCGCAAUCGACGAAGCCUUUUGGUGACGGUAGGUGGAGAAGAAGCACCGGCUAACUACGUG